CGUCAACAGGCACCUCCAAGCCCCGCGCUGUCCGUACACCGCACCGGCUGCGCCGUGGCCUGGAGGAAGAGCUGUGCAAUAGCCUGGCCCCGGCCCGCUACUUCUAAUUCCCGCUGGUGCACUUAUACCGCUUAAGCAGCGCUGCCUCAGAGGGACCUCUGCAGAAAUGAAGAAGACGAUUAAUAAUGGCUACCUAUGUCCCUCACUGAUACCACAGAUGGUGCCCAACGUCGCCAAGUGACUAGGCGGAGGAAAGUUCACAGAGGAGGAAUACACGAAAUUGCCCUAAACAUCUUGAAUCAAGUCAAGAUAGCGAGUCAGCAAAAAAAGACACUCACGAAAGAGA
rnacentral:lncRNA from 1 species